CCUGGGCACAGCCCUGAGCCUCGGCACGGUGGUCGGGGAUCCGGCUCCUGCCCUCCCGGCAGCCCCCCGGCUUUCCCAGGCUCCCGGUGCGGUGAAUGCCUCUUUCACCAGCAGUUCCCCACUUCCCCAAAAAGCAUCACCUUGCCAGCUCCCUUCCUCCCACCAGCUGCCAGGAAAAAAAAUUAGGGCAAGGACAGGGAGCGAGAGCAAAACCAAUGAACUUGUUUCCAGCUUUUCCUUCGGAUCAGCCGUCCAGCACCGGGAGAAAAACAUUUCUCCUGAAAAAAAACUCCCCUCUCCGUGCGGGCUCCGACCCCGUCGCCACUGGGACACUGGCUGGAGACACGGGCUCAGCUCGGCAGCAGAGGACACUGUAUCACCAUGAGUGCAGAGAGCCGUGAAGAUGUCCUGAGCCCCAUGGGGACACCCUGGGCCAUGUGGGGACCUGCCACCUGCCUUCCAGUCCUGCCUCUUGGGCACAGGAGGUGUCACAGCCCUGUGUUAGCAGCAUGGUGCAGAUGGACAUGCUGAGCCACAGCACGGAGCUGGGUGUUCCUGGAUCGUUCACUUCCCGACCCCUCUGCUGCACCCUGAUGGAGCCCUCCCGGGGGGACACCGGGAGCCAGCGACAGCAGCCGCCUGGGGCACCCCUCACCCUGAUGCGGGUGGGCACAGGUUUGGCCAUGUGUGGCACCCACCCGACCCUCACCAGGGCUCCGGUGCCGCCACAGUGAGAGGUGUCCGGCAUUACGGGUGGGGAGCAGGGGGUUGGUUACUGCUCUGCUCUGCAGGACGUGACCACCGCCAGGCCUGCGCUUGCUCUGGGAGCUGACGGCUGUAUUUAUGGAUUGGGUGGAAAACCAGAAGGCUUGGUCAAACGUCCCACAGGCCCCGGGCCUGCCCCUGCCCGCGGCUCGGACACGUCACAGACACGGCUGUGGGCCUGUGCAUGCUCAGCCAUGGAGGGCAGCCUGGGUGGGACACGGCUCAGUGGGGUGGGCUGCCUUGGUGAGGACAAUGGCCAUGAUCCCACUCAGCCACCACUCGCCAUACAAGCCCCCCUCAGCCGCAAACCUCUCUGGCCAUGAUCCCCCUGUCCAUGAGCCCCCUUGGCGAUGAUGUCCCCGCAGCCAGCGCCCUUGGCCAUAUUCCCCCAAACCACGAGCUGCCCCCCUAUCCCAUUGCCCACCCACCCACGCCGUGCAGGCUCCGUGGAGACCCAGCCGUGUGCUGGCCAGGGGCAGAUGGGGAUGCCCUGGAACAUCCUCAGGGUGUCCCCCGGUCUCUCGCCCCCCAGCCGCGGGCUGUGCGGGGCUAUGCACCGAUAUCGACUCUAUUUAAGGAAACCCGACCCAAGCUGGCCCCCGGGGCUUGUGGCGGCGGCGGGGCCGGG